CGAGGCAAACAAGAUCAAGUGCCGAAGCAUGAUUUAAACAAACGCAGAUACAAUGCAGUGCUCAAGGAGGGAUUCAUCACUUUCCUCCCAAAUGAAUAUCCUACACAUCCCCAAGCCUACAUUACAAGUCGAUAACAAGCCUUACAUUAUCCUAUUUCAAGUGUUCUCAUAUUAGUGGAUGCUUACAUGAAGGCCAAGCAUAUGGUAUCUCAAUCGCGUGCAUUGAACAUCUUUUUGAGUGUGAAUGUGCUUCCCAAAAUAUCCUACAAUAUAAAUAUUUCAAAUGUGUGCAAAUUAGGACCUUUUUUUUGGUGAGGGCACUUGAAACAUGAGGAUAUGCAAAAGUCAAAAUCAUUGAUUGAAGCAAGAUGAACAAAUCUUUUCGAUACUUAGGUAUACAUGAGGCACUCACCUUCUAACGCAGGGAUUUCAAAGUCAAAUUUUAUAUGCACCCACAUUCUAAUGCGGGCAUUCCAAAGUCAAAUCUACAAGCGUCCACCUUCUAAUGCGGGCAUUUCAAAGUUAAAUUUUACAGGCACACACCUUCUAAUUUGGGCAGCUCAAAGUUAAAUUUUAUAGGCGCCCACCUUAUAAUGCGGGCACCCACCUUCUAAUGCGGGUAUUUUAAAUUUUAUAGCUCCAAUCAUUUCGGAACAGUACACAAACCGUCUAACCCUCAAAUGCUCCAAUCAUUUUGGAAUGGUACACAACCUGUCUAACCUUCAAAUCAAAUGCUCGGAUCACUUCGGACCGGUACCCAACCUGGAUUUAUUUCAAAUCAAAUGCUCCGAUCACUUCGUACCAGCACAUAACCGGAUUUUUUUCAAAUUAGAGUGCUCCAACAAACUUGGAUCAGUAUCCAACCCGGAUUUCUUUCAAAUUAGAGUUCGCACCAGGGUCUUGGCACACCAACCUGGGACCCCAUUUCAUUCAAUGGAUCACAUCAUCCUUGCAUCAAAUACACAUGCAUCAUUCAACCCAUUACAAUCCAUCUCUCUCAAGACAAACGGAAGAAUAGUCUACACCAUAUCAACUCUAUCAAUAGAAAAGACGUGGCAUAACAUGGAAUUAUCUUCUAGUAGCAAACUGGAUAAAUUUUGAGAGCGAACAUCAAACUCCUCAAUAGAAGCCGACGGUAUGCUCCCAAGUAUCAUGCAAUUUAUAUCCCAUUUGUCAUGGGGUGUAUAGGUAAUCUGUGUCCCUUGCAUUAAAAUAAAAACUCCAGUGUCAUUAGAGCUUGAUGUUUGGGCAAUUUUAAAAAUCAAAAAUUAAAUCCAUUCUAAUCCUGCUCUAUUAUGUUAUCAACCAAUUUAUCGAACUACAUUCGGCCUGAUUCUCGUUACAUUCGAGAUAUGUAGAAAACUCGGCAAGAGUUUGGUGGUACCCACAUCAAAGUCCAUCAAUCUAUCCAUCAUAUCCAACAACUACGUCCCAGUGCCACCACAUUUUGAUACUGGGGCAAUCUUAAAGCAUUGUCGAGGUCACAUGAGUCAUUUUCGUCCUCGGACAUUUGCGUCCUUUGUCUUUGACUCAAUAAGGCUACAACCCACAAGUGGCACUCAAUUGCAUCCCAGAACUACACACGAUCAGAUUUUUGUGCAACCCGAGAUUUGUAGGCAACUCAAACACUUGAGUUUGGUUACAAUAUUCAAAAUCUCCUCUAUUCCCCUACUACACAUCAUCUGUUUUUACACAAUAGAAGUCGGGAAAAAAUUAAGUAUGGCGUCAAUUUCUUUGCCCGAAGACUCUUACACCGUCUCCAGUCAAAGAGGCAUAGCUGUUGACACUCAAUUUUGGCCCUCGUUAUUUAAAAAUUAAUUUAUGUAGGCUUCCUAGCCGUUAAUGAUAAAAUGUAGUCUU